rnacentral:tRNA from 1 species
GCUCAGUUGGUUAAGUGUCUGACUCUUGAUUUCAGCUUAGGUCAUGAUCUCACAGUUUGUGGGUUUGAGCCCCACAUUGGGCU